CAAAAAUACCGGGGUACGUGUGGACGUAGCCUUAUACUGUAAGAGCAAGUCUGCUUCAGCUCCCGUGCAGAGCUGAUUAUUAAAUAUGAGCAAACAGCAGCGUGUUUUCUGUCUCCUGUCACAUCUGUAAGGACAGUAACACCAAAUUAAAGAGAAAGCUUGCACUUCAGUAAACCCUCAUUAAUCAUUAACUAUGGAUUAAAAUAGUAAAGCUCAAUAUUUAUGUACUGAAACCAACUACAGCCGUUUGGCAGCUUAACUUCAAAUUUGUGUUUAAUUUGGUUUCAAAUAUUCAGGUUAAAAACAAAAGUCUGAUAUUGAAUGAUUCUCAAUGUGGUAUUGUUCACAAAGUUACAUGUGCAGUACUCUGUACAGCUUACAUAAUUUGUGAAAUAAUUUAAAGCAUUAGUAUUUGUUGUUGAAUUCUCAGGCAGCAGACCAGGAUGCAGCAGCAGACUGAACCAGGACUGAAACCAUCUCAUUUUUGCAGAUUUCCAUUUACAAAGCACCAAAAAGUCAAAGAUCUGGCACACUGAGUCCUGACGCCGUGGGAAGCCAGCACCGAAGUCUGUGCACAGCCCUCUUAGAAUUCGGGUCCGGACCGGUGUUUAUAGUCUGGUCCACGGCAGUGGGAUUCAGUCUGACGAUCCAAACCACCAGUGAGACGUCUGAGGGUGAGAAACACUAUUUUGAUAUAUAAAACGGCCGCAAAGGUUUAAAGAAACGUGAUAAAAUAGGUUUAAGUUCACCAAAAAGAACUAAGUUUAGACUGGUUUUAGAGGUAGCCGAAAUUACUUUGUGACAAAUUAAAAUACGUUUAGGCAAAUUAACACGUUUAGGCAAAUUAAAACAUGUUGAGACAAAGAAAUUAAAAUAGGUUUAAGUUCGCCAAAAGGAACUGUGUUUAGACUGGUUUUAGAGGUAGCCAAAAGUACUUCGUGACAAAUUAGCGCGCAAAUGUCUAUGUGUGUAUGUGUCUGGAAGUAAGUUGAUUUUACAGCAUAAUAUGCUGCUGAACUACUUCUAUUUUAUUAAUAAACAAGUAAAAUUAACACCUGAUGAGGAAUGGUUAGAAAAACAACAAACCGGAGCAGGUAAAAUUAGUGCAAAUAGGUGGAGAAAUCCAUGAAAAGCUAAAAACCGCAGCUGGGAAGGGAAAUGCAAUCUCUCAGCUGUUACCCAGCUGAGAGUUGCCCUGAUCAACAACAGCCUGUGCUCCAGACCAUUAAUUUAACCAAUUGUUAACAAUAAUCUGCAUUAAGCUUAGGGUUGCUCAAAUUCAGUACAAUGACAUAUGAGAUGAAGUAAAAUAGGUAAAUAUUUAAUCUAAUGACGUGCAUAGAGGCACUUGACCUGUUUGAAAGACUGUCAUCCUAAUAUGUUGAGAAAUAGAGCACACCUAUGAAAACAACUAAUAUGCUGAACCCUGUAUGAAGCAGCUGAAAACUACAUGAUGGAGAAGCUGAAUUGAAUAUGAAAGUGCAAGUCUUUGCCACUGUGGGCAAAGCACACAACCACUGUGUGAGGUUGCGUUGGGUCUCUUCUGAGCUGAUGAGCAAGCUUCACAUUAUCAGAUCGAGAGCUGGCUGAAAACUCAUCAAAGAGAGGGAAACAGAACUACAAUAAUUAUGAUAACUGGAGUGUGCAGCGUUUCCGUGAGUUCUUUCAGAUGCCCAGCAGUUUUCCUGUAUCUUGACUCGUGUGUAGAGUGUUCAUAACAUCAGCAUCAUGUUUUUGUUUAUUUGUUUUGUUGGGUUGAAAAAUAAUUAAAUAAACUUGUGAUCAUACUUAUGGAUCACCAUGGCACAUAUCAUCAGCCAUGUGAUUUAUUUAUGCAGAUGAAAAGUGAGUGUGAAUGUGCCUGACGUCGCAGUGUGUGUGCACUGUGUGAAAGUAAUUGUCUCCAAUUGUGAGAGCGGUGAUUCUGCAGGUCACCAUGCAAAAAAAAAAAAAAAAAAAAAAAAAAGAGAGAGAGAAAAAAUGUACAUUGUAGAUGAAAAAUACUCAUAGGGAAAAGGUUUUGUGUUUAUCAGCCAAGAACAACUAUAAUCUCAUUUUCUGCCUUUAAGAAAGGAGAGUUCACGAAAGACAGAGAGAGAUGUGUGUGUUGGUUAAGCAGUGAUGAUAAUAAUGAAAAUGUCUUAGUUUUGUCACUUUCAGAUGAAAAGCAGACCUGAAUCAAUUUUCCACAUGCAGCAGUCGGAAGAAAGUUAUAGUUUACCAUCAUUGGAAACGUUCAGGCCAAGUUUCUGGCUGACUUAUUUACAGCACCAUGUGUCCCUCAACCUCACAAGCGAGCUCUCACUCCUCCCUGAAGACAAGGAAUGCAGUUCCAAAGAGCAAUAACAUGGCAGAUAAAGAGACAGCAGCAAAGUCCUGAGCAAAGAGUCCCAGCAAGCAGCAGCAGUGUGGACAAACAGCAUCGGAGAAGAAAAGCAAACCCAUCAUCCUGACUGACUGGAUGAAUGGCACUGUGUUUCCAACAAGCUGCAAAUUCACUGUGCAUGUGAAAAGAACUUUUGAGGAGAACUGAGGAGACUGUUGGAGUUUGACAUUUGCCACUUUAGAAGUAAAAUGGCAAGAAGAGACAGUGGAACACAGGACAAAGCUGAAGAAGAACUGCCGGCUAUUGGACUGUUGAAGUGGGAGAGGAGAGUGAGAGGAGGUAAGAACACAGAGAGCACUGUUGUUUAAUGUGGGAAAUCAAAAUUUGGGUUAGCAAACCUGGGGAAAAGAAAACUGACUCCUUAAGUGGGAAAAUUGAGAAGGAAUCUGAACCACUGCAAAAAAGAAACAUAUACAAAAUCACACACACAAGCAGAA